rnacentral:rRNA from 1 species
UAGGGUUUUGAUUAUGGCUCAGAUUGAACGCUGGCGGCAGGCCUUACACAUGCAAGUCGAGCGAGAAAUUUUCUUCGGAAAAGAGUAAAGCGGCGGACGGGUGAGUAACGCGUAGGAAUCUACCUAGUAGUGGGGGACAACAUGUGGAAACGCAUGCUAAUACCGCAUACGCCCUAUGGGGGAAAGCAGGGGAUCUUCGGACCUUGUGCUAUUAGAUGAGCCUGCGUCGGAUUAGUUUGUUGGUAGGGUAAUGGCCUACCAAGACUACGAUCCGUAGCUGGUCUGAGAGGAUGAUCAGCCACACUGGGACUGAGACACGGCCCAGACUCCUACGGGAGGCAGCAGUGGGGAAUAUUGGACAAUGGGCGCAAGCCUGAUCCA